AGUGAACGCUGGUGGCGUGCCUAAUACAUGCAAGUCGAACGGAGUGGCGCACGGGUGAGUAAUGUAUAGCUAAUCUGCCCUACACUAGAGGACAACAGUUGGGAACGGAUGCUAAUCAUCUAUAGUGUAGGAUGAGGCUAUAUUGUAUCAGCUAGUUGGUGCGGUAAGGGCUCACAAAGGCUAUGACGCAUACCGGGUCUGAGAGGAGGAUCAGGUACACGGGGACAGGGACACGGAGCAGACUCCUACGUGAGGAAGCAGUAGUGAAUAAGUAUCAAUGGGGGAACCCCUGAGGCAUCAGCGCCGCAUGGAGUAUGACACUUUUCGGAGCGUAAACACCUUUUGUUAGUGAAGCGGUACCUAACGAAUAGGCACCGGCAAACUCGGAGCCGGCGGCGGCGGUAAUAC
rnacentral:rRNA from 1 species